UAGGGAAUCUUCGGCAAUGGACGAAAGUCUGACCGAGCAACGCCGCGUGAGUGAAGAAGGUUUUCGGAUCGUAAAACUCUGUUGUUAGAGAAGAACAAGGACGUUAGUAACUGAACGUCCCCUGACGGUAUCUAACCAGAAAGCCACGGCUAACUACGUGCCAGCAGCCGCGGUAAUACGUAGGUGGCAAGCGUUGUCCGGAUUUAUUGGGCGUAAAGCGAGCGCAGGCGGUUUCUUAAGUCUGAUGUGAAAGCCCCCGGCUCAACCGGGGAGGGUCAUUGGAAACUGAGAGACUUGAGUGCAGAAGAGGAGAGUGGAAUUCCAUGUGUAGCGGUGAAAUGCGUAGAUAUAUGGAGGAACACCAGUGGCGAAGGCGGCUCUCUGGUCUGUAACUGACGCUGAGGCUCGGAAGCGUGGGGAGCAAACAGG
rnacentral:rRNA from 1 species